CCUACGGGUGGCAGCAGUGAGGAAUAUUGGUCAAUGGUCGGGAGACUGAACCAGCCAAGCCGCGUGAGGGAGGAAGGUACAGAGUAUCGUAAACCUCUUUUGUCAGGGAACAAAGGCGGGGACGUGUCCCCGGAUGAGUGUACCUGAAGCAAAAGCAUCGGCUAACUCCGUGCCAGCAGCCGCGGUAAUACGGAGGAUGCGAGCGUUAUCCGGAUUUAUGGGGUUUAAAGGGUGCGCAGGCGGUCUGUUAAGUCAGCGGUCGAAGCCCGGGGCUCAACCCCGGCCCGCCGUUGAAACUGGCAGUCUCGAGUUGGAGAGAAGUAUGCGGAAUGCGCGGUGUAGCGGUGAAAUGCAUAGAUAUCGCGCAGAACUCCGAUUGCGAAGGCAGCAUGCCGGCUCCACACUGACGCUGAGGCACGAAAGCGUGGGUAUCGAACAGGAUUAGAUACCCUUGUAGUC
rnacentral:rRNA from 1 species